UGGGGAAUAUUGGACAAUGGGCGAAAGCCUGAUCCAGCCAUGCCGCGUGUGUGAAGAAGGUCUUCGGAUUGUAAAGCACUUUAAGUUGGGAGGAAGGGCAUUAACCUAAUACGUUAGUGUUUUGACGUUACCGACAGAAUAAGCACCGGCUAACUCUGUGCCAGCAGCCGCGGUAAUACAGAGGGUGCAAGCGUUAAUCGGAAUUACUGGGCGUAAAGCGCGCGUAGGUGGUUUGUUAAGUUGGAUGUGAAAGCCCCGGGCUCAACCUGGGAACUGCAUCCAAAACUGGCAAGCUAGAGUACGGUAGAGGGUGGUGGAAUUUCCUGUGUAGCGGUGAAAUGCGUAGAUAUAGGAAGGAACACCAGUGGCGAAGGCGACCACCUGGACUGAUACUGACACUGAGGUGCGAAAGCGUAGGGAGCAAACA
rnacentral:rRNA from 1 species